UGCAGAAAGGGGCUCCCAUUUUCUGAGUGAGAAACUUCUGUAACAUCCAGCUGAAGACUACCUUUGAUAGAUUUGAUGUUUCUAGGGAACAAGGACUGUCGCCAGAAUGUUUUCUGCCCCUCACUCAGUUCUGGUCAUCUUCUUAAUACUUGGAGGGACCGAUGGUGACUCAGUGAACCAGACAGAAGGCCCAGUGAGUGCCUUAGAGGGGGCUCUCAUGACCCUGAACUGCACUUACCAGACCACAUAUUCAACUUCCUAUCUUUUCUGGUAUGUCCAGCAUCACAACAAAGCUCCUCAGCUCCUCCUGAAGGGCUCAACAGCAGACAAGAGGGUAGAGCAUGAAGGUUUUCAGGCCACUCUUGAUAAGAGGGGCAGCUCCUUCCACCUGCAGAAACAGGCAGUGCAAGCAUCAGACUUGGCUGUGUACUACUGUGCUCUGAGGGACACAGUGAUGGAGGGCUGCAGGGGGAGCUGAGCGCAAACCCAGAUGCAGAUGGGGCUCCAGCUGUGGGCAGACCCAGAAGAAGGUGUUGUUUCUCUCUCAGAGGUGCUGUCAAAGCACUUCCA